rnacentral:rRNA from 1 species
GACGAACGCUGGCGGCGUGCCUAAUACAUGCAAGUAGAACGCACAGUUUAUACCGUAGCUUGCUACACCAUAGACUGUGAGUUGCGAACGGGUGAGUAACGCGUAGGUAACCUGCCUGGUAGCGGGGGAUAACUAUUGGAAACGAUAGCUAAUACCGCAUAAUAUUAAUUAUUGCAUGAUAAUUGAUUGAAAGGUGCAAAUGCAUCACUACCAGAUGGACCUGCGUUGUAUUAGCUAGUAGGUGAGGUAACGGCUCACCUAGGCGACGAUACAUAGCCGACCUGAGAGGGUGAUCGGCCACACUGGGACUGAGACACGGCCCAGACUCCUACGGGAGGCAGCAGUAGGGAAUCUUCGGCAAUGGACGAAAGUCUGACCGAGCAACGCCGCGUGAGUGAAGAAGGUUUUCGGAUCGUAAAGCUCUGUUGUAAGAGAAGAACGGGUGUGAGAGUGGAAAGUUCACACUGUGACGGUAUCUUACCAGAAAGGGACGGCUAACUACGUGCCAGCAGCCGCGGUAAUACGUAGGUCCCGAGCGUUGUCCGGAUUUAUUGGGCGUAAAGCGAGCGCAGGCGGUUAGAUAAGUCUGAAGUUAAAGGCUGUGGCUUAACCAUAGUACGCUUUGGAAACUGUUUAACUUGAGUGCAGAAGGGGAGAGUGGAAUUCCAUGUGUAGCGGUGAAAUGCGUAGAUAUAUGGAGGAACACCGGUGGCGAAAGCGGCUCUCUGGUCUGUAACUGACGCUGAGGCUUGAAAGCGUGGGGAGCGAACAGG